rnacentral:rRNA from 1 species
UACAUAGGGGGCAAGCGUUGUUCGGAAUUACUGGGCGUAAAGGGCGCGUAGGUGGCCUUCUAAGUUGAACGUGAAAUCCCUGGGCUCAACCCAGGAACUGCGUCCAAGACUGGGAGGCUUGAAUCCGGGAGAGGGAUGCGGAAUUCCAGGUGUAGCGGUGAAAUGCGUAGAUAUCUGGAGGAACACCGGUGGCGAAGGCGGCAUCCUGGACCGGUAUUGACACUGAGGCGCGAAAGCCAGGGGAGCAAACGGG